AUUGAACGCUGGCGGCAGGCCUAACACAUGCAAGUCGAGCGGAUGAAGGGAGCUUGCUCCUGGCUUCAGCGGCGGACGGGUGAGUAAUGCCUAGGAAUCUGCCUGGUAGUGGGGGAUAACGUCCGGACACGGGCGCUAAUACCGCAUACGUCCUGAGGGAGAAAGUGGGGGAUCUUCGGACCUCACGCUAUCAGAUGAGCCUAGGUCGGAUUAGCUAGUUGGUGGGGUAAAGGCCUACCAAGGCGACGAUCCGUAACUGGUCUGAGAGGAUGAUCAGUCACACUGGAACUGAGACACGGUCCAGACUCCUACGGGAGGCAGCAGUGGGGAAUAUUGGACAAUGGGCGAAAGCCUGAUCCAGCCAUGCCGCGUGUGUGAAGAAGGUCUUCGGAUUGUAAAGCACUUUAAGUUGGGAGGAAGGGCAGUAAGUUAAUACCUUGCUGUUUUGACGGUACCAACAGAAUAAGCACCGGCUAACUUCGUG
rnacentral:rRNA from 1 species